rnacentral:rRNA from 1 species
UACAGAGGGUGCAAGCGUUUAAUCGGAAUUACUGGGCGUAAAGCGUGCGUAGACGGUUACAUAAGUCGGGUGUGAAAGCCCCGGGCUCAACCUGGGAAUUGCAUUCGAGACUGCGUAGCUAGGGUGCGGAAGAGGGAAGCGGAAUUUCCGGUGUAGCGGUGAAAUGCGUAGAUAUCGGAAGGAACACCAGUGGCGAAAGCGGCUUCCUGGUCCAGCACCGACGUCAGGCACGAAAGCGUGGGGAGCAAACAGGG